rnacentral:rRNA from 1 species
GACGAACGCUGGCGGCGUGCUUAACACAUGCAAGUCGAACGGAAAGGCCCUGCUUUUGUGGGGUGCUCGCGUGGCGAACGGGUGAGUAACACGUGAGUAACCUGCCCUUGACUUUGGGAUAACUUCAGGAAACUGGGGCUAAUACCGGAUAGGAGCUCCUGCUGCAUGGUGGGGGUUGGAAAGUUUCGGCGGUUGGGGAUGGACUCGCGGCUUAUCAGCUUGUUGGUGGGGUAGUGGCUUACCAAGGCUUUGACGGGUAGCCGGCCUGAGAGGGUGACCGGCCACAUUGGGACUGAGAUACGGACCAGACUCCUACGGGAGGCAGCAGUGGGGAAUAUUGCACAAUGGGCGGAAGCCUGAUGCAGCAACGCCGCGUGCGGGAUGACGGCCUUCGGGUUGUAAACCGCUUUCGCCUGUGACGAAGCGUGAGUGACGGUAAUGGGUAAAGAAGCACCGGCUAACUACGUG